UGCAGUCGACGGUAACAUAAGGUGCUUGCACUUUGAUGACGAGUGGCGCACGGGUGCGUAACGCGUAUAGAACCUACCCUGUACAGGGGGAUAGCCCAGAGAAAUUUGGAUUAAUACCCCGUAGUAACUACUGACGGCAUCAUUAGUAGUUUAAAGUUUUCGGAUGGUACAGGAUGGCUAUGCGUCCUAUUAGUUAGAUGGUGAGGUAACGGCUCACCAUGGGCAGCGAUAGGUAGGGGCCCUGAAAGGGGGAUCCCCCCACACUGGUACUGAAACACGGACCAAACUCCUACGGGGAGGCAGCAGUGAGGAAUAUUGGACAAUGGGCAAAAACCUGAUCCAGCCCUGCCCCGUGCAGGAAGAACGGCCUAUGGGUUGUAAACUGCUUUUAUACGGGAAGAAAAAAGGACACGUGUGGUCCUGGUGACGGUACCGUAAGAAUAAAGACCGGCUAACUCCGUGCCAGCAGCCGCGGUAAUACG
rnacentral:rRNA from 1 species